rnacentral:rRNA from 1 species
ACGGAGGGUGCAAGUGUUAUUCGGAAUCACUGGGCGUAAAGAGCACGUAGGCGGAUAGGUAAGUCAGAUGUGAAAUCCCGGGGCUUAACUUCGGAACUGCAUUUGAUACUGCCUGUCUUGAGUAUGGUAGAGGGGGAUGGAAUUCCCGGUGUAGAGGUGAAAUUCGUAGAUAUCGGGAGGAACACCAGAGGCGAAGGCGAUCCCCUGGGCCAUUACUGACGCUGAGGUGCGAAAGCGUGGGGAGCAAACAG